UAUCAAUUGUCGCAAUUUAUUAAUAUAUGUGCAUAUUUAAAAAUAUCGAUCUUGUUUUGACUGUUGUAGAGUGUAGACAUUGGCAAGUAGUUCUUGGUUCGACGUUUCUGGAGAAGGAACGUUAUUUCCAUAUUUGGCCAAGAUCCGAAAGAAGUUGCCAAAAUAUACGGAAUGUUUCUUUUGCACUCUGUCAAACUAAAGACAUACGCUGAUCAAAAUAAUCCCUGUCGAAUCUCAGGUAAAAUAUUGUUAAAUUAAUUUCUAUUAAUCAAUCAUUUUAUAGCCUUUGCACCAUGUGCAAGUAGCAAGGUUAAGGAUGCCACCUUGAAUAUAUUGUUAAUUGUUUUCACCAUUGUGUUUGCAUAAUUGCACCCCUUGCAAAUAAGCAAAUUUACCUAUUAAAAUAUAAGGAAUUUUAUUGUUUGCACCCCUUGCAGGAAGGGUCUAUGCCAAGUCUAUUGUUUUCAGUUUUUGAGGCUUAACACCAUACUGACUUGGUUUUAUUAAUGCAAUUUUCAAAACAAACCCUUGUGCACUUACUUAGCAAUCAGCUGUAUCAGCAUCAGGUUUGAGUGAUUCAAACAGUGAUAGUACCUUAAAAAAGGCUUGCUAUACAUGGGGAUAUCCCUCUUAUCAGGCAAAGCCAGCUUUCACAGAAACAUCCCCCAUGUUUGAACCUCUUUUAGCAUACUGUUCUUAUUAAUAAUUUCAUUGGGGAAAAAAACAUAGGUGUGUGGGGCCUAGCCAGGUGCCAGUUAGAUCAUGUAUCAAGGUUGUCAGAACUCAGAAGUGGGGGGGGGGCAGCAUAAGCCCCCCCCAUCUUCCAUUUGUAUGAGCAAACACACUGAAAAGUGCAAAAGCAAUUCAAAUUUAUUCUUGAGACCCCAUCCCAAUAUUGAUUUACUUCCGACAGCCUUGUGUAUAUACAUGUAAUAAGUUUUCAAAAAUAUCAGAUUUUCUAAGAAGAUCUUUUCUUGUAGGCUACUAAAGAAAACAAGAAAUGAAACAAGAUGGAAUGAAUAUUUAUUAAAUUACAGAUUUUGAUACAAAUUUAAUUAUGAUACAAAUUUAUCUAUUGUCUGAAUAUUAUAAAAAGUACUCAGGCCAAAUAAAAAUAAUAGUUGGCUUCAGGUUUCUGACCGACGUGUCAAAAAUAUGACCGGCCAUAAACAUAUUAUUGACAUUUCCCAAGUAGGGAUCAUCUUUUCGUAAAUAUCAGAAUAUAUAAAUAGUCAUCAGAGUCAUUUGCUACAAAGUAUUUUGUUUGCUCAUAAUUUAAUCAUUAUCUAGUCAUGUUAAUCCUUGACGCAUUUGUUUCUCGCAAAACAUGUGUAGCUCCCGGUUGAUCCCGUGUGGCACGUCUGAUUAUGUGUUUUUAAAUAAAAUGCUUUUCCAACGUACCUACCCAUAUAAAACAUGGCUGUGAAACCUGAAACCAACUAUUAUGUUUAUUUGGCCUCAGUAAUAUAAGUACAAAAUAUGUACAAAAUGCUCUACAAUGUACAGACAUAUGUCACCAUUUAUUAUAAUCAUAUCUUCAAGGAACUUGUAAACAUAAUAUUGCAGAGAUCUGUAAAAAAAUGCUUUCAUUGUUAAUUGGCACAGAUUUUCUGUGUGUGUGUGUGGGGGGGGGGGGUGCACACCCUCCCAGAAAUGAUUUGCACCUCCCAAAGGCAUUUGGCACCUCUGCAAAUUACAUAUAUUUCGAUUUGAUAGUUUCAUAUUUGAUUAUUCUUACUACUAAAUUUGUAAAAUUACCAAUAUUAUGGUCUCAGAUCUCGCCAUGCAGGCCUAGAAAAAAUUUUGUUAAACUUUUUCCUUGGCCUUUCUGGGUGUUGCCACCAUGCCCUGGACAAAGCAAGCAGCAGCACCCUCCCCAGAUAUUAUCCACCCCCUGAACGAAAAUAUGAAAAUCUGUCUCUGACUCGGAGGGAAAGAAGUAUUAUUUUGUGUAGUAGUGGGAUGGAUUCACUUGGGGGUAUUGGGGGAGGGGAUUCUGUGUGAAAUCCUUGGCAAUUAUCAAACAAAAUAAUAAAGGGAUGGAUUAAUUAACAUUGUUUUUUUAAGAUUUUAUAUUAUUAAGCUUUGUUAGUUCGGCCCUUACGAUAACUCCAUCACGGCUCAGCGUUUACUUUCAAUAUGAUGAUCUUGAGUACGUACAAUCAUCGUGUAUCAUUGAUAAUAUCAAAAUAUUGCCCAGCCCUAUUUACUGGUGAUGACGUGGUAAUGC
rnacentral:lncRNA from 1 species